ACUUCUUCAACAGGCGAUUCCUGUCCGAGCUUCUACAGCAGAUGACUCCCAUCUGCAGCACCAACGACACUCAACAACCUCGGGAGCAUCCGAGCUUCUUCCAGAUUGCAGGACAGAGAGCCACUCUGCUCCAUCAGACGUCCCAGUCGAGCUUCAGCCGACAGGCCCGAAUUCUCUGGCAAGUCACGCCAAUGGCCACUACCCCACUCUACUCUCUGUAACAGAUUCCACGUGGUCCCACCACUCUCUGGCAAGUCGUGACAACAGACACCACUCCACUCUCCGCA
rnacentral:lncRNA from 1 species